rnacentral:rRNA from 1 species
UGGGGAAUUUUGGACAAUGGGGGAAACCCUGAUCCAGCCAUCCCGCGUGUGCGAUGAAGGCCUUCGGGUUGUAAAGCACUUUUGGCAGGAAAGAAACGUCAUGGGUUAAUACCCCGUGAAACUGACGGUACCUGCAGAAUAAGCACCGGCUAACUACGUGCCAGCAGCCGCGGUAAUACGUAGGGUGCAAGCGUUAAUCGGAAUUACUGGGCGUAAAGCGUGCGCAGGCGGUUCGGAAAGAAAGAUGUGAAAUCCCAGAGCUCAACUUUGGAACUGCAUUUUUAACUACCGGGCUAGAGUGUGUCAGAGGGAGGUGGAAUUCCGCGUGUAGCAGAGAAAUGCGUAGAUAUGCGGAGGAACACCGAUGGCGAAGGCAGACUCCUGGGAUAACACUGACGCUCAUGCACGAAAGCGUGGGGAGCAAACAGG